CUUGGUAUGUUGCCACGCUCUCUUCACGGUGGAUGAAACCGACAAUGGAAUCAUGUUUUAUUUAUGUGUUCUUUGACGGUAUGGACCCGAAGAAGAUGGCCACUCAGUUGUGAAUCGCGCCACGAGAAAGGAUGUGUUGACCUUUUCAGUGGAGACAAAGUUCAGUGGCUGUUUGUGAGUCCGCAUUAUCAUAGUUUUGAAGGGAUUAGACGUUCUGAGGGAAGCGGGUUGGGACGUGUCAAAGUUUUCGCUUAAAGUUGGACGUUUGUCAGAUGCGUGCUAUACAGCCACCUAGUGCCCUUCCAACCAUGGCAGAUGAUUCUCCUGGGAAAGUUCAGGCCCUGCGAGCCAUUUUCUCCGAGAAGAACAAGCCAGUCAUGGGCAUCAUGCCACCGGGUGGAAAAAUCCCCAAUAGACCCUGGAAAAAUACUAUCGAAGCGAACGACGAAACUAACAUUACUUUAAAAGAACGAUCGAUCCCUGAACUGAAGUUUUCUCAACCUAUAACCAAAGUCCUGCCAGUCAGGAAAUCCGAAAUCAUUUCCUCCGCCAAUGGCGACCCGCACAAAGACAUUAAUGGGCUCAGUGAGAAGGCACCCAAGCCUUCUGUGGGGCCCAAACCCACCUACCUGUCUCAGCAGGUGAGGACUCAUCAGGACAAUUCUUGUGAUACAAAAAACGAGGACAAUCAUACGAGGAUUGGCGACGGACACGCUUUACUUAAAUCGCAAGCGAAAUCCAAAGCUGUUGCAGAAACAAUCGCGUCCUUCAUGUUUGCCAAUGGCUUCCACCACAAGCCUUCUACCGGCCCUGUUCUGACCGAGGAAAAGAACAAAAACUCUAAAGUGCCGCCGCCUAUUCCUAUGCCUCGGAAUUCCCAAGGGCAGCACGAGCUUCAAACCGAGCUUCUCAACUUGUGCAACUCGCAGAACAGUGAAAAACAUUCGAAAAGUGAAACAGAAGCGCUUAUCAUCAAUUCUGAUAAUUAUAUAUGUAAAAGCAAUUGUAAUUUUAGAAGAAAAGAACUGCCUCCCCUUGAAACACUUGGGCCACCUCCUUUGAAACCGACCAGGCCUAUUCACAUGGUGCUCCCAGAGAAAUAUCGCCUUUCAAAAGUUUCUACUAACAACAGUACAUCUCAGCCACCCCUCACGUCGCCGCCCGCCAUUCCCCAGAGGCCUGCUCCUCAGCGGCCAUCUUAUCCCUGCCCGCCGAGACCCCACACCCCUCCACCUCUACCACCUGUAGCUGGCCGGCUUAAUCUGUCGCUCAGGGAAGAAAUCGAAGAGCUGUAUGAAGACACAGUCUUGGAGGAACACAAGCGGCCUGUCUCGCUCAUACCCGAAUAUACAGAAGAAGAAGAAGCGGCAGAAGAGCUGUACAACGACGCUGAACCUUCAGAGGAAAGCUUGAUGUCGCCGCCACCGCUGAAACCCAGAGAUCCACCCCCGCCCUGCCCUUCUGAAUACCUGCAGCCAAAUGUUCACAAUUCAACUGAGGAAUUAUAUCAAGAUGCUGACGAAGUGAAUGACGACGAAUUUUAUGAAGUCAUGCCUUGCGACGUGUUUUCAGAGGAAUCCGGCUCUCCACUCUACAGCAACAACAAGAAGGAAAUCGAAAAGCUGCGACGCGAAGAAGAAAAGAAGCUGCGCAAAGAGCAGAAGGAGAGAGAAAAGAGAGAGAAGGAGAUGGAGAAACUCAAAAGAAAGUUCGGUCUGACCGGAGAUGAAAUCCCGAUCGAUGACGGGUUGGUCAAGAUGGAUAGUCGUGGCAGCCGAAGUGGGGAUCUUCCAGUCAAGAGAGGGGAGACAGUGCUCAUUCUUCGAAUGGAAGGAAAUCCUCAAGGAAGGUGGCUGGUCAAAAACGAGAAGGGUAAAAUUGGCUACGUGGAACUGACAAACAUUGAGGUAGACCCACAAUCCGUAAAAUCUGCAGUCGCAGCAUUCGAAGAAGCUACAUGUACAACUCCCCUAGAGAAGAACGUAAAUUGGUUGUCUAAAAUCACUGCUUGUGUGAGGUGAUGACAAUAAGAAGAUAUUCUGUGAUUAGUGCAAGCGAGGAGUUGUACAGUGAAGCAAGAUCUGAAGAAGAAGGUAUAUAUGAAGUCACAUACUAGGAGUGAAGAAAAAUGUCAACAAGAAUCUCAUAAGAAUACUCAUGGGAAAAACUGAAAGUUUUAUGAAGAAGUUACACAACUCUUUUAUGUGAUUUUGUUGUAAAAUCCAGAACGAAACCAAAGAAUACUUAGAGUAAAUAUAGAAAAAACAGUUUGCAAAGAAAAAAAGAAGAAGAAAAACAAUAUUAAAAAUUGGAAAUAAUGAAUAUUUUAGAACAGAUUCAUUCAAAAUGUUGUUUUAACCCGUUAUGCUACUUGUACAGUUAUUUUACUUUGUCAUUCAUAUCCACUGAAUUGAAUGAUUAUCUUUCAAAAUGCUUAAGAUAAUUUCAGUACUUUUUAUUGAACUGAAGGGUACAUUUCAAAUAAUUGUACAGGUAUCUUUUUGCUUAUAAAAUGUUAUAACUUCUAUUUUUAUAUAAAAGAAAUAAAAUAUUUUAAAGAUAAUACAUUUAAAAAAAUAUGUAUAUAUGACUGAAAAUUAAUAUCUAUCAAUAGAAAUGCUACUGUUCACUUAAAUUUGCACAGUUUUAUAAUAUUGUUAUCUUUCUUAAGAUACAUUUUCAAUAUUAUUUAUGAUAAUUUAAUAGACAAAAAAAAUUGUAUCAAGAUAUUUUGGAUAUGUUUCCUUUCUCUCUACUUAUUUUCAUGAAAACUAUAGACAUUAUUGAACUAUACAUAUUUAUUUUAUAUACAUUGUUAACUUUAGUUAUUCAAUGUUAAACUAAAUAGCUGUUAUAUUUGUACAAUAUAUACAAGAUUUAUAUAAUUUAUUGUUCAGAACUUUGUAAUUAUUAUAGUUUAUUUAUUGCAAAAAUGAAAACCUGUUUGACGGCACUUUCCUUAUUAGCAAAUGGGGGAUAAAUGAGAUCUAUUUACCUGUUGGAAUUUUUCUCCCUUCACCUUUUUCGUCUUCAUUCAUAGUAUGACGCACUUUGUGUUCAGUUUCAGUGAAGAAAAUUUAAUCACCAUUUUACUUAUCUAUAUCUCUUUGAUAGGUUGCGUCCAAUAUUUGGUCAUAUAAACAAUUUCAAUUUCCGGUCCAUAUGGAAAUUUCAUUUACCUUUAUGUUACGCCCCCCCCCAUGAGGGGUUUGGUUUAAUUAGAUUUACGACCUAUUUCGAAGUACACUACCUCUUUACAUGGCAAAAGCCGUUUUUGGAGUAGAUCUAAUUUUGAACCAUGGUCAGAUAACAAGGAUAACACCCGAGUCGACAACCAAACUUUUCCACCACACUAGCAGAAGGACCUUUAACCCCAAGGGACUUAUCAGAUUCGAUUACUUGGCAGUUUCGGUGGGAUCGGGAAUCCUCACAUCAUGUAACCAAGAUCUUACCUCCAAGCCACUAUGUCCUGAAGGAAGCAUAUCACAAGUUUGUUCAUGAGAAGUAAGUUACUGCCUUCACUUUGAUGAUGGAACGUACUUCUUGCAGGAGGAGAUGAAUUGUGGCCUUUGUUGAAUAUUACAAUCCUACCAAAAGUCUCUGUUGAGUACCUGAUCUGAUGAGUAUCAUUCAGAUGACUAUAAAAUGGGCAUAAGCUUACUUGUGAUUAUAAUGUUAAUAUGCACAAGAAGGGAUUUGCUUCAUAAUGGGUUCAGUAGAAUUAAUGCAAUUUCAAAAACGUCUUUUUCUAAUUGGGAGAGAUUUAAAAUGUAGAGAAUUUUCAGCAUCUUGAAGUUGAAUUUUUUGAUGAUUCUAUUAAAUAUUUUCUGUAUUCUUCACAUAUGAAAGAAUAACACUUCUAAAAGAGCAACUUUAAAAGAUACAAUGAGGUGUGACCGUGAAUGGAUUUGUUUGAAUGAGACAUCACAAAUCGCAUUUUUUGCAAUGAAAACAAUAUACAGGGUGUCCACUCUAAACACGAUUCAGUGGUCAAUUUCUAAACCAUUAGAUAAGUAUAUAUUUUCUAUUGGAAAAAAUUUCUCUUACGUCUAAAAGAAUUAUAUAUAUAUAUAUAUAUAU